rnacentral:rRNA from 1 species
AGUGAGCGCUGGCGGUAGGCCUAACACAUGCAAGUCGAACGGCAGCACAGGAGAGCUUGCUCUCUGGGUGGCGAGUGGCGGACGGGUGAGGAAUACAUCGGAAUCUACUCUGUCGUGGGGGAUAACGUAGGGAAACUUACGCUAAUACCGCAUACGACCUACGGGUGAAAGCAGGGGACCUUCGGGCCUUGCGCGAUUGAAUGAGCCGAUGUCGGAUUAGCUAGUUGGCGGGGUAAAGGCCCACCAAGGCGACGAUCCGUAGCUGGUCUGAGAGGAUGAUCAGCCAGACUGGAACUGAGACACGGUCCAGACGCCUACGGGAGGCAACAGUGGGGAAUAUUGGACAAGGGGCGCAAGCCUGAUCCAGCCAUACCGCGUGGGUGAAGAAGGCCUUCGGGUUGUAAAGCCCUUUUGUUGGGAAAGAAAUCCAGCUGGCUAAUACCCGGUUGGGAUGACGGUACCCAAAGAAUAAGCACCGGCUAACUUCGUGCCAGCCGCCGCAGUAA